AACCAGACUGCAAACAAUAAAGC
rnacentral:piRNA from 1 species